AACGCACAUUGCGCCCGUUAGUAUUCUAACGGGCAGGCCUGUUCGAGCGUCAUUUCUACCCUCAAACAAUAAAUAUUGUUUGGUGUUGGAGUACGGCUAGUUUACUUGUCGUCUCUGAAACUUAGUGGCGAACCAAGCUAUAAGCCUGGCGAAGUAAUUUAUUUCCCCGUCAUGGUUUUGUAGUAAUGGAAUUUUUGCCUUGAAAAAACUUUUAAAAAGUUUGACCUCGAAUCAAGUCAGAUUACCCGCUGAACUUAA
rnacentral:misc_RNA from 1 species